GAUGAACGCUAGCGGCAGGCCUAACACAUGCAAGUCGAGGGAGGAGCUUUCGGGCUUCGACCGGCGUACGGGUGCGUAACGCGUAUACAAUCUGCCUUUCACAUAGGGAUAGCCCGAAGAAAUUUGGAUUAAUACCUAAUGGUAUAUAGAGGUGGCAUCACCUUUAUAUUAAAGCUGAGGCGGUGAAAGAUGAGUAUGCGUUCUAUUAGCUAGUUGGAGAGGUAACGGCUCCCCAAGGCGACGAUAGAUAGGGGUUCUGAGAGGGAUAUCCCCCACACUGGUACUGAGAUACGGACCAGACUCCUACGGGGGGCAGCAGUGAGGAAUAUUGGACAAUGGUCGGAAGACUGAUCCAGCCAUGCCGCGUGCAGGAAGACGGCCUUAUGGGUUGUAAACUGCUUUUGAAGGGGAAGAAUAAGGACUACGCGUAGUUUGAUGACGGUACUCUGAGAAUAAGCAUCGGCUAACUCCGUG
rnacentral:rRNA from 1 species